UUUACUUUGUGAAAGAUGUCAGUAAUGUGUGUCUAUAUAUUUAUUAUCAUUAACACUUGUAAAUAAUCUAGUUUAUUAUCCUGCUAUGUUGGUUUGGACAGAUGGACAGAUAUGUACAGUAAAAAGUCCCUACCUAACAUUGCCCAAAUGACAAUGGUUGCCCACUCUCACCCCAGAACAGUUAACAACCCAUGAUUAGUCGAUGUAUUGGGGCACAUUUCUCCUUUUCAAAUAUUGUAAUUUGUCUGCUUAAUCUAAGAAGGGGUUUAAAAAAAACGGGGUGGGUGAGUGAUGUGUUAAACCUCUUAAAUAUGAAAAUUGCAGCCAAUCGUCAGUCAAAAAGGAAACUUUCAGUUAAAAUUCCCAUCCCCCACAUACAAGACCAUGGAGUGCUCUUCCAGACCUGUCGGACAGGGUUUGUGUGGUGGUGAUCCCCAAAACCAUGAGUUAUGGAGUUGGCCCCCUUCUGGAGGUGGCAUAAUGGAGUCUUAUCAACUUUAGUCCUCCAGCAAUGUUAUAUUUGUUCUGGUAAAAAGUUAUUUUUUUAUUUUUGUUAUAUCCAGAGAAAUCAGUAACAUUCCACAUAAACCACAUUACAUAGGUGACCCAGUUAUCCCUUUUAUCUGUGAUUAGUUCCAUAGACUGUUCUCUGACAUCAGGAAUGCAGCCUUGUCAAGGAAUUCAGUCACCUGCAGAUAUAUUCUGUGAUAAACUUUUAAAAAACGAUUCUGAUGGUAAAAAUUGGGAAUAUUUAGCCACAUGCAUGUAAACUAUGUAAAUCAAAAGCAAUUUCUCAGUUAAUAAUCGACAUUGUACUCUGGUACUGUUCUCUACAAUAUAUAGAAAAAACUCUUGUGCAACAGUGAUUUUCCUUUUUAAGGAAUGUCAAAAUGUUAAAUGUUAUUAUUGUUAACAUAGAUCAUUGUUAAUUAGAUAUGAAUUAGAAUUAUGGAAUAGAAAGAUGAGAUACCUUGAUUAUACAAGUUUUAUGUACAUUUCAGAGAGUCAUUUAUAUACAUAUAUAUUAUAUAUACUUCUGUUCAUUCAAACUGUGCUUUCCAAUUUCAUGUACUAAUGAUUAUACACAAAUAAAUUCCAGAAUAAUG
rnacentral:sRNA from 1 species